CUCAUUAAAAGAGUGCGUAAUAGCUCACUGGUCGAGUGACUCUGCGCCGAAAAUUUAACGGGGCUAAACUAUACACCGAAGCUUGGGAUACAUCUAAUGUAUGGUAGGAGAGCGUUCUGUAUGGGGAGAAGUCGUAGCGAAAGCGGCGGUGGACUAUACAGAAGUGAGAAUGCCGGAAUAAGUAGCGAGAAUUAAGUGAGAAUCUUAAUGGCCGAAAGUCUAAGGUUUUUGGAGGAAGGUUCGUCCGCUCCAAGUAAGUCGGGAGCUAAGGUCAGGCCGAAAGGCGUAGCCGAUGCACAUACGGUUGAUAUUCCGUAACCAUCUGUAAUUUAAGCAAAGGGACACUUCAAAAGGGUGUGACCCGGGCGUUGGUUGACCCGGGCGUAAGGGACCGAAAUUAGAGUAGGGAAGCACACUUAGCUGAAGGCGAGAAAAGCUUUGCGAAUAGAAACAGAUGCCCGUACCGCAAACCGACACAGGUGGACAGGAAGAGAAUUCUAAGGCCAGCGGGAGAAGGGUAGUUAAGGAACUCGGCAAAUUGACUCCGUAACUUCGGAAUAAGGAGUGCUCGAAAGAGCCGCAGAGAAUAGGCCCAGGCGACUGUUUAGCAAAAACACAGGUCUCUGCCAAAUCGAAAGAUGAAGUAUAGGGGCUGACACCUGCCCGGUGCCGGAAGGUUAAGAGGAGGAGUGAGAGCUCCGAAUUGAAGCCCCGGUAAACGGCGGCCGUAACUAUAACGGUCCUAAGGUAGCGAAAUUCCUUGUCGGGUAAGUUCCGACCCGCACGAAUGGUGUAACGAUCUGGGCACUGUCUCAACUACCCACCCGGCGAAAUUGUAGUACCGGUGAAGAUGCCGGUUACCUGCGGCAAGACGGAAAGACCCCAUGGAGCUUUACUGUAGCCUGAUAUUGGGUUUCGGAAAUCUAUGUACAGGAUAGGCGGGAGACUGGGAAACAUGAGCGUCAGCUUGUGUGGAGUCGAUGUUGGGAUACCGCCCUUAGGUUUCUGGAAUUCUAACCUGCGGCCGUGAAUCCGGUCGGGGGACAUUGUCAGGUGGGCAGUUUGACUGGGGCGGUCGCCUCCGAAAAGGUAACGGAGGCGCUCAAAGGUUAGCUCAGCACGGACGGAAACCGUGCCUCUGAGUGUAAACGCAAAAGCUAGCCUAACUGCGAGGGUGACGGCCCGAGCAGUAACGAAAGUUGGAGUUAGUGAUCCGGCGGUAUGUGAAUGGAAAUGCCGUCGCUCAACGGAUAAAAGCUACCCUGGGGAUAACAGGCUGAUCUCCCCCAAGAGUCCACAUCGACGGGGAGGUUUGGCACCUCGAUGUCGGCUCAUCACAUCCUGGGGCUGUAUUCGGUCCCAAGGGUUCGGCUGUUCGCCGAUUAAAGUGGUACGCGAGCUGGGUUCAGAACGUCGCGAGACAGUUCGGUCCCUAUCUGUCGUGGGCGCAGGAUAUUUGAGGAGCUCUGUCCUUAGUACGAGAGGACCGGGAUGGACGUACCUCUGGUGCACCAGUUGUCAUGCCAAUGGCACGGCUGGGCAGCUAUGUACGGAACGGAUAAACGCUGAAAGCAUCUAAGCGUGAAGCCGACUCCAAGAUUAGAUAUCCCAUCGUAUAACGAGUAAGACCCCUUGAAGACUACGAGGUUGAUAGGCUGCGUGUGUAAGUGCCGUGAGGCAUUCAGCUUGGCAGUACUAAUAGGUCGAGGGCUUGACCA
rnacentral:rRNA from 1 species